rnacentral:rRNA from 1 species
ACGGGGUGCAGCAGGCGCGAAAACUUCACAAUGUGCGAAAGCACGAUGAGGGAAUCCCAAGUGCUUGCACGUAAGUGCAAGCUGUUUCUAUGUCUAAAACACAUAGAGAGUAAGGGCUGGGUAAGACGGGUGCCAGCCGCCGCGGUAAUACCUGCAGCUCAAGUGGUGGCCGCUAUUAUUGGGCCUAAAACGUCCGUAGCCGGUUUAAUAAAUGCCUGGGUAAAUUGUAUAGCUUAACUAUACGAAUUCCGGGUAGACUGAUAAACUUGAGACCGGGGGAAGUUAGAGGUACUCCUGGGGUAGAGGUGAAAUUCUGUAAUCCUAGGGGGACCACCGGUGGCGAAGGCGUCUGACUAAAACGGGUCUGACAGUGAGGGACGAAGCCCUGGGGCGCAAACGGGAUUAGAUACCCCGGUAGUCCAGGGUGUAAACGCUGCUUGCUUGAUGUUAGUCGGGCUUCGAGCCCGAUUAGUGUCGGAGAGAAGUUGUUAAGCAAGCUGCCUGGGAAGUACGGCCGCAGGACUGAAACUUAAAGGAAUUGGCGGGGGAGCAC